CAGCAGCAUAAAACAAGCUCUGCGUUUGAGCACGAGCAGGUGUUCUAAGGGCUUCACCUGGACAUUCCACCUAACUUUUCUGAAGUUUUGGAUAAAGAUUUCAUUGAUUGUGCUGAUUCACCCUCAGUCGGAAGGAUGACUGAGAUUCCCUGGACUCUGCCUCAUGCUGGUUCUGGCUCAGCCUGCCUGCUUGUCUGGGAGCCCUGCUCCCCUAGGACUGAAAGAUUCCAACAUGUCAUCUGUGAGGACAUGGUUCUCAAAAUUACAGAAUCAAAAAGGAAAAUACUACCUACAAGAAACUCCAUUCUUAAUGCUGAUACCCUCUCCCAUAGUUGCUGAGCAUAUAAGACAAGUCUAUGAAUGACCUGAUGUUAUGUUUACAGUGCUAUGCUAUUAUGUUAAUUCUAAAUGCAUGUCAGAAAUAUAUUAAACCCAGUAACACAGGUAAAACUCAGAUACUACUAGUCCGUAAACUUCAAUUAGGAAAUUUAAAUUGGAUUGUAGGGGAAAUUUUAGCCUAGUUUUCAAAUAGAGUUAUAGUGGCUUGAAGUGAACUAUUGCCUUACCUCAUAGGAUUUAGUUAUUUUGGAUGAAGUAAAAGUUAAUGAGUUUAACAAGCAAUUGUGUUGAGAGAUGGAUCCUCAGGACUUGGGAAUAAAAAAAGAAGCAUUAAAAAGAAGCAACUCUAUUUUGUCAUUGCUCUUGUUAUAUAGUACUUGUGUCUGAUUCUCUCUUUACUGUCAGACCUCUUGUAGGGUCCAUAACUGGUGGGUUUGGGGGCAGAGAGCAAUAGAGCUCGUUUAAGUGAUGACCUGCCUGUAGAAAUAGUUCUUUUACCAGACGCAUUCAGGGAGGGAGGAGGGAGAGCUACUGUUUAGCUUCAAAUCACAAAGUCGUAACUACUGAAUCUGCCCCUCCCCUCUUGGAUCUCUGCCUUCUCUCCAGGGGUGAUUACAAUGAGAUGGGCUGGCUGCCAUUAGACAGGGAAAUAGGAGGGAGUGUCCUCUGACCUAAGGAAAAUAUCUCAUGCAAACACGGUUCCUUUAAUAUAGAGAGGUGUGUAAAAAUGCAUGUAAACAAGCAUUUUUUAAUUUGAACAUUAAAUUUUAUUGGUACAGAGCAUGUGUUUUGUUAUACUGGUGACUAAUGCCAUUUAAAAAUGAGAUUUGGAAAUUCCAUUCUGCUUAUGUAAGGAGAUAAAGAGCAUUUGGAACAUUAAUCUGGUGCUAACCCCUGUAAUAAUAGCUGAUUAGCAACAAGACAACUUGAGGUUCCAAAAGUGUUUUCUGCAGAGCCCUCUAUUAAGUGUAAAAAGUUUUGGAUUUUGGUCUUUAUUUUUAUCCAAAUGGUUUUUGUUUGAGAAACCUCUGUAAGUAAACUUCAGAAAUCAUCAAUUUGCGAA